GCGGGUGUAGCUCAGUCGGUUAGAGCGCUGGCCUGUCACGCCAGAGGCCGCGGGUUCGAGUCCCGUCACUCCCGCCA
rnacentral:tRNA from 1 species